AGGUCAAUUCACAUUUUGGCAAGGCUUCUAAGUGACAAUGCCAUGAAGCCUGGACUUUGGCCAUGAAUUUCUUUUCCUGGCCUGCAAUGGCACAUGCGCGGUGGCUGAGCUCACACAUGGGCCUAGGAGGCGAGGUCUGCCAAUAGUGCUAGCUUGAAGGAGGCACAACUAUGCAAAGAAAUGCCAAUGACCAAUGAAAGAUUUAGCAUUCCAGAGUGGGGAUUGCUCUGAAGCACUUGCUCAUCUUUUUCCAGUUCCUCCUCUUCAAGUCCCUGUCUUCAACAGGACAGGGUGGGGAGAUCAAGAGUGGCUCAAAUCGAAUCAACCCUCAGCUGGGGCAGUUUCAAACACAGAGUAGUCAGAUUUCAUUUGCAGUGUAGCAGCCUUCGGUUGGGGCCGUUUCAAACAACCAGGCACGGUUCAAUUAGAAUGCAUUUUUAUGCAACAAAGAACAAGAAUGAAGUCCCAUUCCUAUUGCAUAUAUAUAUAUAUAUAUAUAUAUAUAUAGACAUUUCUAAUGAUUUGCCUGGUUUUUCUAAAAAUGUUAACGCCCCUGAAAGUUUUAUAAAAUUCUGGUAAAUACAAAGGCAGAAGUGAUGUGGCUGAUUGAAUUUCUGGAUUUGAAUUUACGAUAAGAGAUUUGUGCGUGGGC